UCGGGUUGUGCUAAGAGGGAAUCUGGUGAAAAUCCAGAACUGACGCGCAGCGGUAAUGGGGAACGAAAGCGACAUGCUUGAUGUGUGAUGUCACAUCAAGACGAGGCACUGAAGUGAAUUUCGGGAAGCCGUCGCCGUAGGAAAUUAAAAUCGCCCCUGAGUCCGAAGACCUGCCAAAGCAAUUU
rnacentral:ncRNA from 1 species